UACGUAGGUGGCAAGCGUUGUCCGGAUUUACUGGGCGUAAAGAGCGCGCAGGCGGUCGUUCAAGUCGCGUGUGAAAGCCCCCGGCUCAACUGGGGAGGGUCACGCGAUACUGAUCGACUGGAAGGCAGGAGAGGGUAGUGGAAUUCCCGGUGUAGAGGUGAAAUUCGUAGAUAUCGGGAGGAACACCGGUGGCGAAGGCGGCGACCUGGGUCGAGACUGACGCUGAGGCGCGAAAGCGUGGGGAGCAAACAGG
rnacentral:rRNA from 1 species